GUUUGGCACCUCGAUGUCGGCUCAUCACAUCCUGGGGCUGAAGCCGGUCCCAAGGGUAUGGCUGUUCGCCAUUUAAAGUGGUACGCGAGCUGGGUUUAGAACGUCGUGAGACAGUUCGGUCCCUAUCUGCCGUGGUCGUUAGAGAUUUGAGGGAAGCUGCUCCUAGUACGAGAGGACCGGAGUGGACGAACCUCUGGUGUUCCGGUUGUCACGCCAGUGGCAUUGCCGGGUAGCUAUGUUCGGAAAGGAUAACCGCUGAAAGCAUCUAAGCGGGAAGCCCCUCCCAAGAUUAGAUCUCUCAACACUUGAUGUUGUAAGGGCCCUUGUAGACUACAAGGUUGAUAGGCCGGGUGUGGAAGCACAGUAAUGUGUGAAGCUAACCGGUACUAAUUGCCCGAGUGGCUUGGUCAUAUAACACCAAAGC
rnacentral:rRNA from 1 species